AACGAACGCUGGUGGCGUGCUUAACACAUGCAAGUCGAACGAGAAAGUUUCCUUCGGGAAAUUAGUAAAGUGGCGCAAGGGUGAGUAUCACGUGAAUAAUCUGCCCUCGAGAUCGGGAUAACAUGGUGAAAACUAUGCUAAUACCGGAUAAGACCACAUUUCAUAAGAAAUGCGGUAAAAGGAGUCUCAAUCUUCACUCGAGGAUGAGUUCGCGCAACAUUAGCUUGUUGGUGGGAUAAAAGCUCACCAAGGCUACGAUGUUUAGCCGGCCUGAGAGGGUGAUCGGCCACACUGGAACUGAGACACGGUCCAAACUUCUACGGAAGGCAGCAGUAGGGAAUCUUGCACAAUGGAGGAAACUCUGAUGCAGCGAUGCCGCGUGAGUGAAG
rnacentral:rRNA from 1 species